AGAUUGAACGCUGGCGGCAUGCCUUACACAUGCAAGUCGAACGGCAGCACGGGGGCAACCCUGGUGGCGAGUGGCGAACGGGUGAGUAACAUAUCGGAACGUGCCCUGGAGUGGGGGAUAACUAGUCGAAAGACUAGCUAAUACCGCAUACGAUCUACGGAUGAAAGUGGGGGAUCGCAAGACCUCAUGCUCGUGGAGCGGCCGAUAUCUGAUUAGCUAGUUGGUGGGGUAAAGGCUACCAAGGCAUCGAUCAGUAGCUGGUCUGAGAGGACGACCAGCCACACUGGGACUGAGACACGGCCCAGACUCCUACGGGAGGCAGCAGUGGGAAUUUUGGACAAUGGGCGCAAGCCUGAUCCAGCAAUGCCGCGUGAGUGAAGAGCUUGGUGUAAGCUCUUUGUCAGGAAGAACGGUUCUGUCUAAUACCUGAGCUAAUGACGUACGUAGAAGAA
rnacentral:rRNA from 1 species